ensembl:lncRNA
CUACUUCAGAGAAGCAGAAGGGCUUUCCCCACCAAUCUUUCUGAGUCAAACCAGUAAUUCUAGGCUAAAUGCUGGAACGUAUGGGGCUAGGCUGUCAUUUUGCCGUGUAGUCACUGGAUAUGGAAAACCACAGUAUAGUGAAGAUAAUAAGUAAUCGUGAAUGUUGAGCUAUGUAUGCUUAUUUGACUUGGUGAUGGAGGAGCCGAAGAGACUGUACAGUCAAACCUAAAUGCUGCACCCAGUUUUGUGAGUUUUAAAUAAUUUUUCACAGCAGGUUUUAGCUGGAACACACAUUGCUCUUCUUAUAGACGUGAAAUAUUGGGAUGAUUGCUUCCCAGUUGCUCUCCACUAUUUUAAGAUUUCUCCAGGUUUGUUUCCCUCACUGUCUCUUUCAUAGGGCGCAUUUCCAACAUGGCAGAUGGCCACUGUGUUUGAGACACUAGACAGUGCAAAGGAAAAGAGAAGAGAGAAUUACGAGGAGGAAAAAAAAGGGGGCUCAGACUCCGACUCUUGGAUAGCACAUUGGCUGGCUUCCACAUUUUAGUGGGAAAGCUACAGUAUGUAGAUAUAUAAUCAAAAUGUCAGAUUGCAUUUAGUCAACAUUUUUAUAAACCACUCUUUACAAUGACACACAUUUUACUUAGUCUUCGCUUGAAAGAAUAUUACAACUCACCCUUAUACUGAAUAAGCAACCUAUAAAACCAGUAGUUUUGACACAUUCAAUAACUGAGCAGUAAAAUAUUUCAUUGAAAUGUUUUCCACAGCAUGUGUUUAUAGUGGGACCUGUCACAACUUGAACUCUUUGUGAUGAAUUCGCUCUGCGUUUUAGUUACGCAAUAAGAAACUACCCAUCUUCAGUUACCAGAUGUUGCAUUACCUUUUGUGGAACAUUUGAAAAAUGAGACAAAAAAACCCAACUUGGAAUAUCGGCCACCGUCUCGAUGUCAUAGUGACAAAUGCCAAUUAACUAACAUUGUUGCCCUUGGUAUGCAUGACGACAAGCCGGUGUGAAUGACCAGAGUACCAGUGUUGUAUGGAGCAACUUACUGCCAGUAAGUUGCUUCUCACCGGGCAGCCAAAUGUUUUUGUGCGACAACUGUCACCAAGCUGUGAAGUGUAGCUAGCAUCGCCAACUUGAAUUUCAUCUUCAAAAAUAAAUCAUGCCGGUAUGAAAAAUGACCAUUAGUGGUGGUUGUCUGGAUGUCUCUGUGAUACAUACAGUCUAAUCAAUGGGGAGAUGAAAGCACUGGCCACACCUGGGAAGUUUCCUUCUUUAAGAUCAAGGGACCUGCUAAGGCAUUACAUAAUGACUGGAGUGAUUUUCACUGAGUUAUUUGUGUCAUUCUGAUGGAAAAACAAGAUGCUACUUCAAACCUGUUACCACACAUUCGAAGUCCCAACUUGGACAAUUUUCCAAUAACACUUGAGGGACUGUGACUUCCUUUUAACAUUCCCUCCAUCACUUCUGAUAAUGACAGUUUAAAGCUGAUGGUGACAGUGAUUGUUAUGGAACAAUGGCCUUCAUGUUCAAACCAUAGAAAUUGUAAUGAUUCAUUGAUGGUAUAAACUGGAAAUAAAUAGUGAGCUCAAAAUAUUUAAGUUGGUGGCCAAUGUGGUUUCUGUCUGAAUGUUCAGACUGACACUUUCUCAUUCAAUACUGUUGCAAAGUGAUUAUUUAGAUAUCCACAUUGUGCUGUUCAUUGAUAGCUUUUAUUAUCUAAUGAUGUCCAAUGAACAUAGUAUAUAUGCAGUUGUUGACACCACAACACAGCACAUAUUUGGGAUGUUGGAAAUUGAUCAUUAAAAUAAUUUAUUCCGCUGUUGUGUUGUUGUCUGCUUACAGUGGGUCAUUUCAUACGGAACAGUCAGAUGCGCUCAUAUUUUUGAAUCACAAACAGGUUUGAGAGUAUAGGCGCUAAAAUCACGGCCCUUCUAAAACCCUUCUAAAACCUGACUCUUUUAAUAGAUGGCUCCGAGCUGGCCAGUACACAUUCCUAAGGGAGGUAUGGAAAACAAAGCUGGAUCCCAGAGAGUAAGUCAGUCCAUCUUUCCCCUGUGGACUUUGUGAGUGAAGCCCAGCUCGAAUCAACUCCCACAUACAGGGAAUUCCUAUCUGAAAUAUUUGCUAUUUGUUCAAUAAAAGGAAAUGAGGAAGGGAAGGUGGCCAGGAGGGAGGAGAUGGAUUGGGGGAUGGGGGACUUGUUUAAAUUGAAUCACCACAGCAGCUUCCGUAAUAUAUUUUUUCUUCUACUUCUCUUCUUCAUUUUUAAGAGGAAAUGAGUUUCACAACGUAAGGCAAUGUUUCAACUGUCAUUUAUUUUUGAUGCCUGGCAAGCAACAGAGAUGUCACCAAAUAAUGAGUAACCCAGCACUUAGCUUCCACUACUGUCUAUUAAGGGCUGGCACAAAUGGAAUGUAAAUGCUUUGCAAUAAAAAUAUCACACACACACAGACACACACAUACGUAUAUAUAUUAGGACUGUCAAAAUGAACGCAUAAACGCGUGGGAUUAAUAAAAAAUGCUUAACGCCGUAGAAUUUUUUGUCACAUUUUUCGUUUGUUGAGCCUCAGAACCAAAGUUACUGCUUGACUUGUGCAGGAGCUGUUGCUUAUUCAUUUGCAACAGUAUACGGGGAACUUUAUUUGGCACUUGACUUGUGCUGGAGUGGUCGAGAGUGCUUCACAUUUGUUUUUUUUAAUCUAAAAAUGUAGAGUAGCCUACGCAUUCAUGUCGUGAUUCGUGUUUACUCACGUUCAACGACAGCAUUUAUGUGUCAACGGCCCAGUGAGCAAUCGGUGGUGGCCCGCCGUCGCUUUUCUCCUCAUCUCAAUUUGCAUAAGCUAAUUUGCAUCUCUGGCGGCUUUCCACCAGCGGCCCGACUGCGUUACGCUGGCGGCUAGCCGCCGUAGAGAGGGCAUGUGCUGUGAUUUGCUGUAUCUGCCUGUGUUGCCAUUUUCUUCCAACAGAGGUGCUAUUGUACCACUUUUAUUCUUGUACUGAUUAUUUGUAUUAACUUUAUUUUAAUACUGUUAAAUCUUUUGGUAAACACUGAUUUAUUAAUAAAAUAGACUUUGACUUUUGCGCUAUUGCUUAUGUAAAGGACCUUUGUGUAGACAUGUACAGUAAACACAUAGAAACAGCCAUCUUUCGCCAUUGCUUACCAUCAUUUUUUCCCCAAACUAAUUGCCAUUUUCAACUGCAUGGUACCGGCUCAACUACUCGCCUAUAGCCUUGACUUUAAUCGCUUCACGAUGGACAGUUCUUUACUGUGUUUAAACACUGCAGUGUCCGUAGAUGGCGCCGUAGCGAAUGUGAAUUGCACGUAAGGCAAGACAAUUGCCAUUUUGCACGCUAGGAAUCCCUCAUUCUAGUUAUGUGAAAACUGGAUCAUUUUAGUGACUUGGUUCUUUAAGUCUCGUUCAGGAAAAGGAACAACUAUUUUUCAAAGAGUGUAAGGUAUAAGCUAUAUGCUCUAAAUUGGACAAAACAUGUGUAUUCUGAUUUUGUUUACUACAAUUUGAUGAACUCGAAGAUCAAAAUAGUUUUUUACAUCAGACUGAAAAUGAUUGAACGCAGAGUCACCUACAUAGCUAGGGUGAGUUCUGUUCUGCGUUUUUAUAAAUAACUAUGUGUUGUUAGGUUACUGAGUAAGAAUGUAAUGUCUUUUUUGUAUUAAACAAUGACUGUUUGCAAUAUUCUAUUAACAUUCUAAUUCUUUAGUCAAAGUCACUGGUAGCUGAACGCAAGUUUUAAACCAUUGGCGGUAAAACAAAUUAAUGAAUCUGAGCUUGAAAAAAAAACAGCGCUGGCCUGAGAUGAAAUACCUACAGUAACCCUUGUGUUUCUUUGUGUGUCCACAAGUUUGGUUGCUUACAAUUUUUGUUUCUUUGUUUCUCCUCAAGUUCAGCUGUUUUGUGCUUCUUUGCAUAUCAACGGUUGAACAGAACAUUUGGAGAAGAUCAAGUGGCUGACUGAAGAGAAGGUCGAGCUGAGGGCACAGCUGGCUCUACAAUCAGGAGCCAUAAGGAAGAAUCCUUCCAACCGGGAUGCCACUGACGAGGCUGUCCAGAACCAGGUCCCAGAAAGGGACAGCUGACCGUGCAGGUGGGAGAAGCGUUGCGGCGGUACAAGGGACCUGCCGUGAAUAUGAAUGACAUCUCCAGCACCACCAAUAUUGCUGCUAAUCUACAGUAGUCUUUAUAAAAAAUAUUAUAACUGCUGCUAUGUACAGUGUUAUUUAUAUAUGAUCGCAUUAUCCUUAAUAUAUUUAUAGCUCUGUGUGAAUGUUCUUAAUUCUGACUGUAGUUGUAGUGUGUUAUGCCACCAUUCAUAAGCUUAUUGCACUGAUGUAUCUACGAUUCAAUACAUUUUGAUUGCUGCUACGUCACACUUAUGUAUAUUACUGCCAUUCUAGCCCUUGUUUAUUUUGUAUUAUAUUAUGUUUAUUUUGUACUUUUUCACAUUCAAAUACUGUAAUUUUACUAUAUUGGUUGCUGGAUACGUUUUCUUGCACUAUUUGAUUUUUCUAUUCAUUUGCACAUGUUUAUUUUGUAUCUUGCACUAUUUGAAAUACAUUUUUCAGAUUUUAUUCAGUUCAUUGUCAUUUGUGAUAUGUGAUAAAUUAUUGUAAAGGAUUACUAUGAAUACAACCUAAUAUUGGGGCGUGAGGCGUCCCGCUGGGUUUAGUGCUGAAAAGUAGCUAGCUGCCGUCGGGCCGCUGGUGAGCCCCUGAUCAGGGUAUUGUUGGAAGGCAAUGUAAUGAAAGCGGCCCAAUGGUGGCCCGACUGCGACCCACGCUAUAUAAAAAAAAAAAAACAUUUUCA